CCGCGCAGACGCGCCUGUGGACGAGCGUGCGUUCUGCGCCGGGAGAGAGCCGGUGGGACACUAAGAACAGCAGGCGCCUUUGCUUAUUCUCAGGACCGUUUUGUCACAGGGCUACACCCUGCAGACCACGAAGGAGCUCCUGUCCCCACCGGUCCUCUAGCCGCCGAGCCCUCCUGGCCUGUCCCCGUCGGGGUGACGGCGGGAGUGUCCCUGAGCAGAUGUGGGGGCCCUGGUGCUCUCGAACCUUCUUGUCCCCUCCUCCCCCUCCCGUCGGUCCCCACACCAGCCCAGCAAGUAGGGGUCUUCUCCUUGGGCCCGGGCCCUCCUCAGCUGCGUUCCUUCAUUCCCAGAACGCGGAGGUCCCCGGGCCCGCAGGCCGGGGUGGCUUCAUAUACCUCGUCCUCCGUCCCCCAGAUGCGAGUUUUGUUGGCGGGGUUAAGGCCCGUGGCAAAGGAUCUUAAACCGCGCAGUGUACGCAGUCAAAGUUGUAUUCCACAGGCAUAAGUAUCUUCUUUUCCUGUUACUGUGACACUGUGUGUGAUGGGAAUACUUCUGAGGGUUUCAGAGUUUUGCACAUAUGAUUUUAUGCAUUAUCAAAAGUUACUGCUGCCUUGAAUGAAAAUGUUCUGUGAAAUUUUUUGCAAAAGCUUUACUAGGUUUUUUUUAAUUGUGAAAUUUUGUAAAGGCAGGAAGUGGAUUAAAACAAGCAUGCUAAAUAUAUUUUUCAAAAAAGCAAUAAUUUUACAUGUACAGAAAUUACCCUAACCUUUAAUAUUGGUGAGAGCAACAGUUUACUUAAUACAGUAAUGGAUUAGUGCAGUUUUUGUAGAAGACGGGCUUCUGAUACAAAGAUUUGUUGAAACGCGUGCGUGCGCUCAUGUUCACAUACCCUGAAGUGUGGUUUUCCUGUUCUAAUGAUUUGUUGAGUUAUUAUUAUAUUAUUAUUAUUGUUGAUGUUGUUAUUAGUUAAUGUUGGGUUCGGGAUUCUACUUGUUACUGAGGUUGAAUUACUUGAUGGUUCAGGUCACUUUGUGACACUCGCAGAUAAUGGAACGUAACUGGCUGGCUGACACAUACACGUGUGUCUACACACGCAUGUAUACACGUAUGUGUACACAUGUGCACACGUGUGUGUGUGUGACUUUCUUACUUUUUCCUGAUAAUUCUUGUACCAGAUGUGUACCAGAGUGAGUGGGAUUGUCCACGCAGAUGCUACAUUAAGCAACUCUGAUCGGCUGUUCCGUGAAGUUGUUUUGAGCAAAUUUGCAGUCACACAUUCCUCUGUUCACCUUAGGAGUCAGAAAGCCUUUCUGUUGACUUAUGUUGGGUCAUUUCGAUCGCCUCCCCUGAGUGAUCAUUUCUGCAUUGCGCUUUCUCUGCCGAAAGCAAGCAGUGGUAGGAACACACGGGCUGGCGACGCAGUCCUGUUUCCCUGUGUUCUGGCCAUUAAACAGUUCUAUACCCACAGUGACACGUAAGUGUCGUGUCCCUUCUUGCUGCCCCAGCAGCGGCUCGCCGGAGCCCAGCGGGGAGGGGGCUUCCUGGGGACCAUGCUCCUGGGUGCCUGGUGGAGAGAGGGGCGCGUGCCCGGGGUCCCUUUGACAGAGCGCACACCAGGUCGGCCUCCGUCACUGUGUGCUGCGUAGAGUAGGUUUCAGGUAACUGAGCGGACGGCGAGGACCCUCCGGGGAAGCCCCCUCCAAGACGCACGGUCCUCGGGCCUGACUGCGGCUCCUUCCUCCUCUGGUGGUCAGUACUGUCUCGGUUUGUUAGUGCGUUUAUGUUUGACCAUAGUAUUUAAUAUGAUUUGUGUUUUCUUAUUUAUUUAGCCAGUGUGUUUGAUUUGCUCUUUUCUGAAUGAUAAUUUCCGCACGAUCUCUCCUGUAAGUCACCUUCCGACUGUUACAGACUCCUGCUACCUCUACCGAUCUGCUGUCUCCUCGUGUCUCCACCGGGUUUUUACAGUGUUGGCGUCUAAUGUAACUUAGACAAUAAAGGGUUUGGUUGCUGCCCCGCGGCUUCCGGGUGUGUCUGCCCGUCCCCACCCCCCCUCGUGCUCCGGCUGCUCCCGGCGCGGCCCUGGCCGUCUGGCUCCCCUCCUCGCCGCUCCUCCUUCCUGCUCACGGCUCUGAGGCAUUGUUGAACUCAAGUAACACGUGAAUAAUGAGCUUCUAGGAAUCUUUCAGGUUAUUCACUCAUAUUCCUUAACUUGAAGAAUGAACACUGAAGUUCUCUGAAGCUCCGGCGGGUCAGCCUCUGCCCGCGGGACGGUCGCCCACGCCGCCCCCGCCUCGUCCUGGAAGGUCUCCGGUGGCUCCGAUGGACGACGGGCCGUGUGCUGUUUUACUGCUUUUCUCUUUGGUGAGUUCUAAUCGCAGAGCGUUCUGUUCGCUGAGAAACAAAACCGCCCCAGGCCAGGGGCCGAGGAGGACCUUCAUUCUUCGUCAACCUUGCUAAUUAUACUUUGAGGCCGUAAAAUGCAAAAGACCAUAGAGUUUGUAUUUCUUUUUUUAAAUACAAUUUAUAACAUUAUAUUUUGUACUCUUUAUAUUAGAAUUUGUAACUAGAUUGAUGUAUUUAACUAUUUCUGAAAAAAAAAUAAUUCAAUGUUUCAGUUAUGUGAUAAAAAUAUUUAGAUAAAACAUAUUCAUUCUAUUGGAAUUUGAAAUCAAUAAAAAGAUCUUGGCGUUCUCGA